AAAAACAUAGCUAUAUGAAAUAUAUAUAUAGUUAUUUCUGCUCAAUGAAGUUUUAAAUAGCCGCAGUACCCUGACUGUGCAAAGGUAGCAUAAUCAUUUGGCUUAUAAUUGAAGUCUGGCAUGAAUGAAUAUACGGGUAAUUACUGUAUCAUAUAAAUUAAUAGAAUUUAUUAAAUAAGUGAAAAUUCUUAUAGUUAAAUAAUAGACGAGAAGACCCUAGAAAUUUUUAAAAGUAAAGAUAAUUUGUUUUUGUUGGGGCAACAGUGUAGGUAAACCUACAUUAAAUAUAGGAAGUUUAUAAAAAGAUAAAAUAAAUUACUCUAGGGAUAACAGCAUAAUUUUUAAAAGUUUGUGACCUCGAUGUUGGACUAGGAAUUUAAAAUUUAAAAGAUUUAUAAAUAUUGCUCUGUUCGAGCAUUUACUCCUACGUGAUCUGA
rnacentral:rRNA from 1 species